rnacentral:rRNA from 1 species
GACGAACGCUGGCGGCGUGCUUAACACAUGCAAGUCGAGCGGUAAGGCCCUUUCGGGGGUACGACGAGCGGCGAACGGGUGAGUAACACGUGGGUGACCUGCCCUCAGCUCUGGGAUAAGCCUGGGAAACCGGGUCUAAUACUGGAUAUGACUCCAUGACGCAUGUUGGUGGGGUGGAAAGCCUUGUGCGGCUGAGGAUGGGCCCGCGGCCUAUCAGCUUGUUGGUGGGGUGANGGCCUACCAAGGCGACGACGGGUAGCCGGCCUGAGAGGGCGACCGGCCACACUGGGACUGAGACACGGCCCAGACUCCUACGGGAGGCAGCAGUGGGGAAGUCUUGCGCAAUGGGCGAAAGCCUGACGCAGCGACGCCGCGUGAGGGAUGACGGCCUCGGUUGUAACUAC